rnacentral:rRNA from 1 species
AUUGAACGCUGGCGGCAUGCUUUACACAUGCAAGUCGAACGGUAGAGGGGGCAACCCCUUGAGAGUGGCGAACGGGUGAGUAAUGCAUCGGAACGUGCCCAGUCGUGGGGGAUAACUACUCGAAAGAGUGGCUAAUACCGCAUACGACCUGAGGGUGAAAGCGGGGGACCGAACGGCCUCGCGCGAUUGGAGCGGCCGAUGUCAGAUUAGGUAGUUGGUGGGGUAAAGGCCUACCAAGCCUGCGAUCUGUAGCUGGUCUGAGAGGACGACCAGCCACACUGGGACUGAGACACGGCCCAGACUCCUACGGGAGGCAGCAGUGGGGAAUUUUGGACAAUGGGCGCAAGCCUGAUCCAGCCAUGCCGCGUGCGGGAAGAAGGCCUUCGGGUUGUAAACCGCUUUUGUCAGGGAAGAAAUCCUUUGGGUUAAUACCUCGGAGGGAUGACGGUACCUGAAGAAUAAGCACCGGCUAACUACGUGCCAGCAGCCGCAGUAA